UAAUAAGUGUUUUAUGGCACUUUUUAAAUCCAUAUCCACCUUGUGUGCAAUGUCAGUCGAUCUUCUUCAUGGAGAUCGACCAAACAUCAACCUUUAUUUUUUAACUCUUUGUCUGAAAAAAUAUUAUGAAUAAACAAUUCAAAUA
rnacentral:misc_RNA from 1 species